UACAGAGGGGGCAAGCGUUGUUCGGAAUUACUGGGCGUAAAGAGCGUGUAGGCGGCCAAACAGGUCCGUUGUGAAAACUGGAGGCUUAACCUCCAGACGUCGACGGAAACCGUAUGGCUAGAGUCCGGAAGAGGAGAGUGGAAUUCCUGGUGUAGCGGUGAAAUGCGCAGAUAUCAGGAAGAACACCAAUGGCGAAGGCAGCUCUCUGGGACGGUACUGACGCUGAGACGCGAAAGCGUGGGGAGCGAACAGG
rnacentral:rRNA from 1 species